rnacentral:rRNA from 1 species
CCAAUCGAACUCGGAGAUAGCUGGUUCUCCCCGAAAUAGCUUUAGGGCUAGCCUCAUGUUAGAUAUCCGGAGGUAAAGCACUGAAUGGCCUAGCGUCCGAGAGGAUAGCGAAGCCUAUCAAACUAAGAAUGCCGGAAUAUUGAUGCAUGGGAGUCAGACAGUGUGAGAUAAAUCUCAUUGUCAAAAGGGAAACAGCCCAGAUCUACAGCUAAGGUCCCAAAUUGUAUCUAAGUGGAAAACGAUGUGGAAAUACGCAGACAACCAGGAUGUUGGCUCAGAAGCAGCCACUCAUUUAAAGAGUGCGUAAUAGCUCACUGGUCGAGCGUCUCUGCGCGGAAAAUUUAACGGGGCUAAGAUACAAACCGAAGCUUAGGCUGCACUUUUAGUGCGGGGUAGGGGAGCGUUGUGUAAGCGGAGAAACAGUAGCGUAAGCGGCUGUGGAGUUUACAGAAGUGAGAAUGCCGGAAUGAGUAGCGCGAAUGAUGUGAGAAUCAUCAUGGCCGGAAACCUCAGGUUUUUGGAGGAAGGUUCGUCCGCUCCAAGUUAGGCGGGAGCUAAGGUGAGGCCGAAAGGCGUAGCCGAUGCACAGACGGUAGAGAUUCCGUCCCCACCGAAAGAUUUAAGCGCAGGGACACUUUUAGAAGGUCGGAGCCAGGUGUUGGUUCUGGUAGAGAUCGAGGGAAAUUUAGUACCGAAGUCCGGCUGGAUAAGAGGCGAGAAAAGCUGCGUGUAUAUCUAAGGUGCCCGUACCGCAAACCGACACAGGUAGGUAGGAAGAAGAUUCUAAGGCCAACGGGAGAAGGGUUGUUAAGGAACUCGGCAAGUUGACCCCGUAACUUCGGAAUAAGGGGUGCUCAUGAAAGUGAGCCGCAGAGAAUAGGCCCAGGCAACUGUUUACCAAAAACACAGGUUUGUGCUAAAUCGAAAGAUGACGUAUACGAGCUGACGCCUGCCCGGUGCUGGAAGGUUAAAAGGAGAUGUGCAAGCAUUGAAUUGAAGCCCCAGUGAACGGCGGCCGUAACUAUAACGGUCCUAAGGUAGCGAAAUUCCUUGUCAGGUAAGUUCUGACCCGCAUGAAAGGCGUAAUGAUCUGGGCACUGUCUCAACAGCCCGCCCGGCGAAAUUGUAGUACCGGUGAAGAUGCCGGUUACCCGCGACAAGACGGAAAGACCCCAUGGAGCUUUACUGUAGCCUGAUAUUGGGUUUCGGUGUUGCAUGCACAGGAUAGAUGGGACGCUGGGAAAGAGGCGCUUUGGCGAUUCUGGAGCGGACGUUGGGAUACCAUCCUUGCGACAUUGGAAUUCUAACCUGCGCCUCUGAAUCGAGGCGGGGGACAUUGUCAGGUGGGCAGUUUGACUGGGGCGGUCGCCUCCUAAAAAGUAGCGGAGGCGUUCAAAGGUUCGUUCGAUCUGGACGGAAACCAGAUGAUUGAGUGCAAACGCAUAAACGAGCCUGACUGCGAGACUGACGGGUCGAGCAGAGACGAAAGUCGGAGUUAGUGAUCCGGUGGUAUGUGAGUGG